GGAUGAACGCUGGCGGCGUGCUUGAUACAUGCAAGUCGAACGGAGAGUGUAGCAAUAUACUUUUAGUGGCGAACGGGUGAGUAACGCGUUGGUGAUCUGCCCCGGAGUGGGGAAUAACUAUCGGAAACGAUAGCUAAUACCCCAGAUGUCUUCGUGUUUGGAAAGCGAUGACUAAAGUUCAGGCGCUCCGGGAGGAGCCUGCGUCCCAUCAGCUAGUUGGUAGGGUAAUGGCCUACCAAGGCACAGACGGGUAGGGGGCGUGAGAGCGUGGCCCCCCACACUGGUACUGACACACGGACCAGAUGCCUACGGGUAGCAGCAGCUAGGAAUAUUGGGCAAUGGGCGAAAGCCUGACCCAGCAACACCGCGUGAAGGACGAAAGCCUUCGGGUUGUAAACUUCUUUUCGAGGGAAUGAGAAAGGACAGUACCCUCGGAAUAAGGCCCGGCUAACUACGUGCCAGCAGCCGCGGUAAUACGUAGGGGCCAAGCGUUAUCCGGAUUUACUGGGCGUAAAGCGCAUGUAGGCGGUUGACUAAGUCGGAUGUGAAAGCUCCUGGCUUAACUGGGAGAGGCCAUUCGAAACUAGUCGGCUGGAGGGUGGUAGAGGAGAGCGGAAUUCCAGGUGUAGCGGUGAAAUGCGCAGAUAUCUGGAGGAACACCAGUGGCGAAGGCGGCCUCCUGGACCAUUCCUGACACUCAGACGCGAAAGCUAGGGUAGCAAACGGAAUUAGAGACUCCGGUAGUCCUAGCCCUAAACGAUGCAGACUAGGCGUCGGCGGUUUAAUCACCGUCGGUGUCCAAGCUAACGCGAUAAGUCUGCCGCCUGAGGACUACGGCCGCAAGGCUAAAACUCAAAGGAAUUGACGGGUCCCCGCACAAGCAGCGGAGCGUGUGGUUUAAUUCGAUGCUCCGCGAAAAACCUUACCUGGGUUUGACAUAACAGUGGUAGAGAAGUGAAAACGGACCGACCCCUCGGGGAGCUGUUACAGGUGUUGCAUGGCUGUCGUCAGCUCGUGCCGUGAGGUGUUGGGUUAAGUCCCGCAACGAGCGCAACCCUCAUCCUUAGUUGCCAUCAUUGAGUUGGGCACCCUAAGGAAACUGCCGCAGUUAAUGCGGAGGAAGGUGGGGAUGACGUCAAGUCCUCAUGGCCCUUAUACCCAGGGCUACACACGUGCUACAAUGGACGGUACAAAGGGUUGCAAACCUGCGAAGGGGAGCUAAUCCCACAAAGCCGUUCUCAGUUCGGAUUGGAGUCUGCAACCCGACUCCAUGAAGCUGGAAUCGCUAGUAAUCGCGGAUCAGCAUGCCGCGGUGAAUACGUUCCCGGGCCU
rnacentral:rRNA from 1 species